UAGCCUUUAGCAACAUAAGUAUUAAAGGUCCUGCCUGCCCAGUGAAAAUUUUAAACGGCCGCGGUAUUCUAACCGUGCAAAGGUAGCGUAAUCACUUGUCUUCUAAAUAAAGACCAGUAUGAAUGGCUAAAUGAGGACAAACCUGUCUCCUAUAACUAAUCAGUGAAACUGAUCUCCCAGUCCAAAAGCUGGAAUACCCACAUUAGACGAGAAGACCCUGUGGAGCUUUAAAUUUACCCGGUAGUACACACUAGCCUAAAUUUUAAGUUGGGGCGACUUCGGAACAAAACAAAACUUCCGAGCACAGAACCAUCAGUUCUUACAAAGGCAAACAUGCCAAAAAUUGACCCAGUCACACUGAUCAACGAACCAAGUUACCCCAGGGAUAACAGCGCCAUCCUCUUCAAGAGUCCAUAUCGACAAGAGGGUUUACGACCUCGAUGUUGGAUCAGGGCACCCCAAUGGUGCAACCGCUAUUAAAGGUUCGUUUGUUCAACGAUUAACAGCC
rnacentral:rRNA from 1 species